UACGUAGGGGGCAAGCGUUGUCCGGAUUUAUUGGGCGUAAAGAGCGUGUAGGCGGCUGCACAGGUCCGUUGUGAAAACUGGAGGCUCAACCUUCAGACGUCGAUGGAAACCGUGCGGCUAGAGUCCGGAAGAGGAGAGUGGAAUUCCUGGUGUAGCGGUGAAAUGCGCAGAUAUCAGGAAGAACACCCGUGGCGAAGGCGGCUCUCUGGGACGGUACUGACGCUGAGACGCGAAAGCGUGGGGAGCGAACAGG
rnacentral:rRNA from 1 species